rnacentral:rRNA from 1 species
GACGAACCGUGCGAACGUUGUUCGGAAUCACUGGGCUUAAAGGGCGCGUAGGCGGCUCGCGAGGUCGGGGGUGAAAUCCCACGGCUUAACCGUGGAAGUGCCUUCGAUACCGGCGGGCUCGAGGAAGGUAGGGGUGCGCGGAACUUCUGGUGGGGCGGUGAAAUGCGUUGAUAUCAGAAGGAACGCCGGCGGCGAAAGCGGCGCACUGGAUCUUUUCUGACGCUGAGGCGCGAAAGCCAGGGGAGCAAACGGG